GUAUGUGUUGAUUAUAAAUCUAACAGAUGUCAAAGUUCUGUCUGAAUGGGGAAUUCUUUUCUUGCUAUUUGAAAUGGGUUUGGAGCUUUCAUUUGCACGUCUAAAAGCUCUUGCAAAAUUUUCCUUUGGUUUGGGAUUGACUCAGGUCAUCUUGUCUACACUUGCUUUCACGACGUUUGAACUUCCUCCUAACAAUGCUAUUGGAACAAGAAUCCUGGAGUUCCUUUUCCACUCAAGGUCUGAUUUGGUCAAUAUAAGAAGUGUUGAUGAGGCUAUUGUGAUUGGUGCUACUCUUUC